UUCAUUCAUAUCUCCAACUGAAGAAAAUUUGAAACUACUACAACAUAAAUCUCACUACUGGAAACCUUCCCAAUUUCAUGCACAAGCUUUGUACUACUAAGGGCCAGUGUAUAGUACAAGGGAAUGGAGAAUGGGAGGAGUAUUUCAAGAUGGAAGGAGAUCACUAAUAGUGCGAUUCUCAACCUAUGUUUAUGUUUGAAACACGUUACCAGUGGGACUAUUAGCCCUUCUUCACAAAGAUCUAUGCAAACAUCAGAUGAGCUGGAGUCAUAUUAACAAGACAUUAAGAUAACAUUGAUUAAUUUAAUUUUAAAAUUAUGCUUUUUAAUUUUCAUGAUCAGA